GCUCAGGACAAAGACCAUGGAAGGUGGCUGAUGCUAGACUUGUGCUUGAAGAUGGUUCUAUAUGGAGGGCCAAGUCGUUUGGUGCUAUGGGAACCCAAGUCGGCGAAGUGGUGUUCAACACAUCUUUGACAGGGGGAAGCAUAUUCUUUUAGGGUGUGAGGUCGACCUAAUUGCACCAUAUUUAUCCUUCUCUGCAUUGCAGUGGGUUCUUGGAGUUGAAUCUCUGAACUCUGUGGUGGCCUCCUGUUAUUCUAGUUUUCUACCUUGGUACCAGGAAAUUCUAACUGACCCAAGUUAUGCUGGCCAGUUUGUUUUGAUGACGAACCCGCAAAUUGGCAAUACUGGUGUUAAUUUGGAUGAUGAAGAAUCAGGGCAAUGCUUCCUUGGCGGUUUGGUGAUCAGAAGCUUAAGUAUCAGUACCUCAAAUUGGAGAUGCAGACAAACUCUUGGUGAUUAUUUAGAAGAAAGGAACAUCAUGGGUAUAUAUGAUGUGGAUACACGUGCAGUCACACGCAGAUUGAGAGAAUAUGGAAGCCUCGUAGGUGUACUGACAACAGAAGAUUCCAAAACUGAUGAGGAGCUGUUGCAAAUGUCCCAUACAUGGGAUAUUGUUGGUGUUGAUUUGAUUAGUGGUGUCUCCUGCAAUGCUCCGUAUGAAUGGCUCAAGAAAACAGAUCCAGAAUGGGAAUUCAUCACCAAUGGAAGAGCUGGGGAGAAUCUUCAUGUUGUCGCAUAUGAUUUUGGAAUCAAGCAUAAUAUCCUGAGGCGCUUGGCAUCUCAGGGAUGCAAAAUCACAGUUGUCCCUUCAACUUGGCCAGCUUCAGAAACUCUUAAACUGUGUCCAGAUGGAGUCCUCUUUAGCAAUGGACCAGGAGACCCAUCUGCAGUUCCUUAUGCUGUUGAAACGGUGAGGGAAAUUGUGGGAAAGGUUCCUGUAUUUGGAAUUUGCAUGGGUCAUCAGUUACUUGGUUUGGCAUUGGGUGGGAAAACUUUUAAAAUGAAGUUUGGUCACCAUGGAGGAAACCACCCAGUACGCAACCUCCAGAAUGGUUGUGUUGAGAUUAGUGCUCAGAAUCAUAACUACGCAGUUGAUCAUGCAUCUCUUCCUGAGGGUGUGGAAGUGACUCAUGUCAAUCUGAAUGAUGGAAGUUGUGCUGGUCUUGCCUUCCCUGCAUUAAAAGUCAUGACCCUUCAGUACCACCCAGAAGCAUCUCCAGGUCCUCAUGAUUCAGAUCCUGCUUUCUCAGAAUUCAUAGAACUGAUGAGAAAAGAAAAGUAACAUGUCAUGACAUCUGCGCGAGUCUCAUGCACUGCAGGCAAAGGUGCAGCUUGUAUGGGCCUUGCCACGGUUUGACGAAUAAAAGUUUUAUUGUCUUCUUCAAUGGAGCAGCUGUGAGAUUCAUUGUAGGGUGGGAGAUCCUCGGGAUCAGUGAGACUCUGGUCUGCUUUAUUGGUGGGAAGCCGUUAGCUAUUUAUCCUCUAUAUACUCUGUUUUCCCUUCAAGUUGCAGAAGAUUUAAGUUGAGUUAGGCAAAGCCUCAACCUGGAGAUUAUAACCAUAUUUUGAAGGACAAAAGCACAUUGAUUUACUUAGUAUGCAACUAUGCAUGGUUUGAAAUAACCCCAGAAAACAACACUAAUGUGUUCAACUGGACACCAAAUGUUCUUCAAGUUUAGCCUCGACACUUCUUAGCCUAAGGGAAGGCUUUGGUCCACAUAAUAUUCAUGCACAAAUGUAAUGUUACGAUUGAAACUUAUGAAUGGACAUUUAUAAGUAUUAUGCUCCCAUUUCCAAUCA